rnacentral:rRNA from 1 species
CCGUUGUACACACGCCCGUCACACCAUGGGAGUGGGUUCCACCAGAAGCCGGUACGCCUAACCGCAAGGGGGGCGCCGGACCACGGUGAGAUUCAUGACUGGGGUG